UGGGGGAUAUUGCACAAUGGGGGAAACCCUGAUGCAGCGACGCCGCGUGGAGGAAGAAGGUUUUCGGAUUGUAAACUCCUGUCGUUAGGGACGAAUUUAUGACGGUACCUAACAAGAAAGCACCGGCUAACUACGUGCCAGCAGCCGCGGUAAAACGUAGGGUGCAAGCGUUGUCCGGAAUUACUGGGUGUAAAGGGAGCGCAGGCGGACCGGCAAGUUGGAAGUGAAAUCUAUGGGCUCAACCCAUAAAUUGCUUUCAAAACUGCUGGCCUUGAGUAGUGCAGAGGUAGGUGGAAUUCCCGGUGUAGCGGUGGAAUGCGUAGAUAUCGGGAGGAACACCAGUGGCGAAGGCGACCUACUAGGCACCAACUGACGCUGAGGCUCGAAAGCAUGGGUAGCAAACA
rnacentral:rRNA from 1 species